rnacentral:rRNA from 1 species
CACGUAGGGGACGAGCGUUGUCCGGAUUCAUUGGGCGUAAAGCGCGCGUAGGCGGCCCGGUAAGUCGGAUGUGAAAACCUGGGGCUCAACCCCAGGCGUGCACCCGAUACUCCCGGGCUGGAGGCAGGUAGGGGAGAUCGGAAUUCCUGGUGUAGCGGUGAAAUGCGCAGAUAUCAGGAGGAACACCGGUGGCGAAGGCGGAUCUCUGGGCCUUGCCUGACGCUGAGGCGCGAAAGCUAGGGGAGCGAACAGG